GGCCUUAUGACCUGUUUCCCUGCUUUCACCUCUGACUCUUUCUGUUGGAGGGGUUGUUCCGUCCCGCUGGUGUUAUUCCAAACUUCUGCCCAGGUCCAUGCUGACAACUUGCAUCACCAGACGGGAGCCAUUGCUCAGAUUUGCAUGGACAGCCCACCAUGCCCCUCAGUCUGAUGGGGCUCUCUGGACCAUGGUUUGCAGGAGGGAUGAGCUACCGGGCGCUGUUAAAACUUCAUCAGUGAGAGGACGCCUUUCCUCCCUGGCUCCCGGUGCAGGACAGGAAUAUCUGGGAAUGAGUCUUUCUGGCAAAGAGAAGCACCUUGGCCCUGCUCUUGAUUGUCAACACUUUCAAGAAAAGUUUCAUCUAAAGGGAGAAAGAGGAAAGAAGAGAACUUUUAUGUGAGGAAUGUGAGCCUUUUCAAAUUCUCAGGCCCAGAAAGGCAUUACAUUGAGACAGCAACCAUGCUCCGCUUUCUUUUUGUACAAUGCUGUAUUUCAAAACAAAAACAACCAAACCUACAAGGUUCACGAAAUUGGACAGUUGUCUUUAUGACACCACUACUGGUAAACCAGGAGGACGGCUGGUGUGCAGACAUCUGAGCAGCUCCUCUAGUUUCAUAGAUAUAAUCUCUCUGAUAUGCAAGGGCUUCCAAUUUUAAGCUCAAUGCUACUUCACAAAGAGAACCAUGUUUGAAAGGAACCGGUUUUCUGUAAUCCUAAACGUUCUAAUCUGCGAAUUAAAAGCCGUGAUUUGAGGACGGUGCACAGGCUUCCAGCUGGCCGCCACUGGCGGAAGUUAAGCAGUCCUUUCUUUGGGGGACACCAGCUGCGGGGGGUCUCGGCGCACCGCCCCAGGGGACAAGGGCGGGAGGGAAAGGAGGGAGAGGCAGAGUCACUGAGUGGUGAGGGAGCUGGUUGGUCGGUUGAGUGGCGGAGGGUGGAGCGGAAGUCUAGACAGCCACUGGGAAAGACAGUCGGUGACAUCACGGAGACGGCGACUUCUAUGCAGAUGAGGCAGCGCAGGG
rnacentral:lncRNA from 1 species